rnacentral:rRNA from 1 species
GUACUUGUACUGAUUGAGAUUUUAACACGAAGUGAGUGGCGAACGGGUGAGUAACACGUGGGUAACCUGCCCAGAAGUAGGGGAUAACACCUGGAAACAGAUGCUAAUACCGUAUAACAGAGAAAACCGCAUGGUUUUCUUUUAAAAGAUGGCUCUGCUAUCACUUCUGGAUGGACCCGCGGCGUAUUAGCUAGUUGGUGAGGUAAAGGCUCACCAAGGCAGUGAUACGUAGCCGACCUGAGAGGGUAAUCGGCCACAUUGGGACUGAGACACGGCCCAGACUCCUACGGGAGGCAGCAGUAGGGAAUCUUCCACAAUGGACGCAAGUCUGAUGGAGCAACGCCGCGUGAGUGAAGAAGGGUUUCGGCUCGUAAAGCUCUGUUGUUAAAGAAGAACGUGGGUAAGAGUAACUGUUUACCCAGUGACGGUAUUUAACCAGAAAGCCACGGCUAACUACGUGCCAGCAGCCGCGGUAAUACGUAGGUGGCAAGCGUUAUCCGGAUUUAUUGGGCGUAAAGCGAGCGCAGGCGGUCUUUUAAGUCUAAUGUGAAAGCCUUCGGCUCAACCGAAGAAGUGCAUUGGAAACUGGGAGACUUGAGUGCAGAAGAGGACAGUGGAACUCCAUGUGUAGCGGUGAAAUGCGUAGAUAUAUGGAAGAACACCAGUGGCGAAGGCGGCUGUCUGGUCUGCAACUGACGCUGAGGCUCGAAAGCAUGGGUAGCGAACAGGAUUAGAUACCCUGGUAGUCCAUGCCGUAAACGAUGAUUACUAAGUGUUGGAGGGUUUCCGCCCUUCAGUGCUGCAGCUAACGCAUUAAGUAAUCCGCCUGGGGAGUACGACCGCAAGGUUGAAACUCAAAAGAAUUGACGGGGGCCCGCACAAGCGGUGGAGCAUGUGGUUUAAUUCGAAGCUACGCGAAGAACCUUACCAGGUCUUGACAUCUUCUGACAGUCUAAGAGAUUAGAGGUUCCCUUCGGGGACAGAAUGACAGGUGGUGCAUGGUUGUCGUCAGCUCGUGUCGUGAGAUGUUGGGUUAAGUCCCGCAACGAGCGCAACCCUUAUUACUAGUUGCCAGCAUUAAGUUGGGCACUCUAGUGAGACUGCCGGUGACAAACCGGAGGAAGGUGGGGACGACGUCAAAUCAUCAUGCCCCUUAUGACCUGGGCUACACACGUGCUACAAUGGAUGGUACAACGAGUCGCGAGACCGCGAGGUUAAGCUAAUCUCUUAAAACCAUUCUCAGUUCGGACUGUAGGCUGCAACUCGCCUACACGAAGUCGGAAUCGCUAGUAAUCGCGGAUCAGCAUGCCGCGGUGAAUACGUUCCCGGGCCUUGUACACACCGCCCGUCA